UCCAUCCAUUGGAGCUGGCAAAAUGGCCACCUAGCAUGGUUGCCUUUACAACAGAGUGUCUCUAAAGGAUGGAGCACUACUAAGGAAGUUAAAUAAUCCAGGUUAAGAGUUCUUAAUGAUAAAAACUCUCAUGCCAAUGAUUUCAUCUAACUAUAGCACUAAUAUAGCAUCCAGAAAGUGAAGCUGAAACAUUAAAAUGCCAGUAAUCGAAAACAGCUCUUCUACAUCAAGGAUUAGGAGUCUUUGAGCAGCUGAGCAAUUUCCACCGCUAUGAACUUUUAACUAACCUCGAUUAGCUGAAGUACUUAAUCUUUGCUCUCAUUUGCCCUUGCAAAACUGAACUUUUUAUUUGUCUGAUUUUUUUUUCUUUCAAGGAGACCCAGAUUAUAUUGUAUUUGAUCAAUCUAAUGGCUCCAGUCCUUCUUUCGUUAAAGUAAACAAGCCUCGUGCUCUUAAUAUUUGUUCAAGAAAUCUUUUUUGAUCUCCAUUAUUAUAAACUUCACUGAUGUCCUUCAAGGCCUUUCAAGGAUGAAAUUAUCCUUUGUUGGGAAAAUAAAAGGAUGCAACAAG